rnacentral:rRNA from 1 species
UACGGAGGGUGCAAGCGUUAUCCGGAUUCACUGGGUUUAAAGGGAGCGUAGGAGGGCAGGUAAGUCAGUGGUGAAAUCUUCGAGCUUAACUCGGAAACUGCCGUUGAUACUAUCUGUCUUGAAUACCGUGGAGAUGAGCGGAAUAUGUCAUGUAGCGGUGAAAUGCUUAGAUAUGACAUAGAACACCAAUUGCGAAGGCAGCUUACUACACAAAUAUUGACGCUGAGGCACGAAAGCGUGGGGAUCAAACAGG